AUGAACGCUAGCUACAGGCUUAACACAUGCAAGGUCGAGGGGCAGCAUGGUCUUAGCUUGCUAAGGCCGAUGGCGACCGGCGCACGGGUGAGUAACACGUAUCCAACCUGCCGUCUACUCUUGGGACAGCCUUCUGAAAGGAAGAUUAAUACAAGAUGGCAUCAUGAGUUCACAUGUUCACAUGAUUAAAGGUAUUCCGGUAGACGAUGGGGAUGCGUUCCAUUAGCUAGACGGCGGGGCAACGGCCCACCGUGGCGACGAUGUCUAGGGGUUCUGAGAGGAAGGUCCCCCACAUUGGAACUGAGACACGGUCCAAACUCCUACGGGAGGCAGCAGUGAGGAAUAUUGGUCAAUGGACGAGAGUCUGAACCAGCCAAGUAGCGUGCAGGAUGACGGCCCUAUGGGUUGUAAACUGCUUUUAUAAGGGAAUAAAGUGAGUCUCGUGAGACUUUUUGCAUGUACCUUAUGAAUAAGGACCGGCUAAUUCCGUG
rnacentral:rRNA from 1 species